AUGAUGUUGAACCGGCAAUACCGCAACCUCAAGCAGGGGGAUCUCUCCGUCGCCGAGUAUGCCCGCCGCAUGAAGCUUCUCACCGCCGGCCUGGCCGACAUCGAGCACGCCGUCACUGAGGUGGAUCUCACCACUCAGUUCCUUCACGACAUCGACAAACGCCUCAACACCAUCCGCGUCGUGCUCGGGGACACGGUCCCUCUGUCGCCGUUCGAGACGGUGUUCUCGCGCCUGAAGCUCGCAAAGGAGAAUCUCGCCCAGCGCAUGGCUGAUGAGCCGGCCACGAUCCUCGUUGUCACCGGGGGCGGCGGCCCCUCCAGCAGCUCUUCUAGAUCCGGCGGCUCUGGUCCUCGCCCGUCGACCGCGCUGAUCGGGGCCCCGCCUCUCCGGCCGGUCGCGGCUCUGGCAACCGCACUGAUGGUGGCGACCGCGGUGGAGGCGGCCGCGGGCGCGGCCGUGGGCGCGGUGAUCACGGCGGUCGUGGCAACUCCCCGCCCAUGUCCUACAAUCCCUACAUGGGGUUCUUCGCGCUCUACGGGAUGGCCCUCCCGAACCCGCGUCCUGGCUGGGUCCCUCCCAAUGCCGCCGGCGUGCUCGGCCCGCGGCCAGGGUCCCAUGCACAGGCGUAUCCGAUGCAGUUCUUCGGCUACCACGCGCUGA
rnacentral:rRNA from 1 species